rnacentral:miRNA from 11 species
UGUGUGUGUGUGUGUAUGUGUAUAUAUAUAUGUAUAUAUAUAUAUAUAUAUAUAUACACACACACACACACACACACACACACACACACACA